AUAGUCUACCAUACCAUUCUGAACACACCUGAUCUUGUCUGAUCUCAGAAUCUAAGCAGGGUUUGGCCAGGUUAGUACUUGGAUGAAAGAGUUCUCAUAUACACUUCA
ensembl:rRNA 5S_rRNA 5S ribosomal RNA